rnacentral:rRNA from 1 species
UACAGAGGGUGCGAGCGUUAAUCGGAAUUACUGGGCGUAAAGCGCACGUAGGCGGCUUGGUAUGUCGGGUGUGAAAUCCCCGGGCUCAACCUGGGAACUGCCUUUGUGACUGCAUAGCUAGAGUACGGUAGAGGGGGAUGGAAUUCCGCGUGUAGCAGUGAAAUGCGUAGAUAUGCGGAGGAACACCGAUGGCGAAGGCAAUCCCCUGGACCUGUACUGACGCUCAUGCACGAAAGCGUGGGGGAGCAAACGAGG